rnacentral:lncRNA from 1 species
GCCGCGACCUAUGCUCGUCGUCGCGCAUCUCUCAAUCUCGUCUAUUUGCCUCUCUCGCCGGCCUCUCUGUAAGUUGGGCUAUGCCUCUUCUUCUUCUUCUUCUUCUUCUUCUUCUUCUUCUUAAUCUUUUUGUNCCUCUUCUCGCCGGCCUCUCUGUAAAUUGGGUCUAUGCCUUCUUCUUCUUCUUCUUAAUCUUUUUGUUUAUUUUUCUUUAUGUGGUUUAUCAUUUUUCCGUAUAUUUUAGAGAGUGGAUUGUUUCCAUUGUGCUGAUUAAUUUAUUGGCUUUAAGCUCUUU